ensembl:lincRNA D930016D06Rik RIKEN cDNA D930016D06 gene
UAAGUCUUAAAAGCUGUUUUCCUGUGUUAUGACAGUUGGAUAGUUUUCAGUAGAGCAGUACUGAAAGCAAUCCAUUUUUUUAGUGCCUAAAAAGCAUAAACACACCCUCGAUCUGUGCUGCUUUGCUGAUUAGCUGCCUCCUCCCACAUCGUUGAUAAGAGAGAUUUGUACAACUCCUGUGUGCCAGGCCCUGGUCAAAGCUGAUGGUCUCUCCUCUCCCUCACAGACUGCCUCUAAGCUCUUCAGAUUCAUGAAUUUUAACAAGUCCAUGAGCCAGCUCUCAACCAUGUCAUGAUGUGCCAAAAAAACCUGAUGUUCUUCACUGUUUCCUUGGCAUAUGCCCAGUUGGCAUUCAGUUGGAUGACUUAGGUACCUUCCAGGUAUAUGAAAGUCUGAAACAGUAGUCACAGAACAUGACGUGGAAUGAAUUCAGAAAUUGAACAUGAUUGUCAGCACAUGAAAGGUGCCUCAGGGAGAGUGCAGUGACUGACAAGUGGUGACUGUGAGAUGCACAGGGAACAGAUGGAGCAGCUGGUGCGGUGCAUGAAAGGUCAAGUGCUGGGACUGAAGGUGUCCUGUUGCAGACAGGCCAGUGUCUCAGUGUGACCAUGAGAUUCAGCAGUCAGCCUUGCCCAGGUGUCCUCUCCAGUCUCCAGUGGACCUGGAAGUUGGAGGCAGAAGUGGGGGUGCCAGGAUCCACAUGUGUUACUGUGUGGUCCUGAGUGGAUUUGCCAUAACAAGUACAUUACUUAUGUCUGGUUUAUCAUACGAUGCUGGUCUUUAUAACUAAUCAUUAACCUUCUACACUAUUUUCCAUAAGCUUUACCCAUGGAUGAAAGAUUUUUUAACUUUUCCUCACAUGAUAGAUCUAGACUUUGAAAUAUUGAACUAAGGGGAAAAAACCUGGAAAGUAUGUUGAGAAGUACGCACAAUUGCUGCCCUGCCUAACUCUUCAGGUGACAAGUAGCUUUCUAAAGCUUGGAACUGUCAAAGGACUUCUGAGUAUGCUUCCAGCCACAAGUCAGUGCUGACAUCUUAACCAGUGUGUGGAGGAGGAGAGCAUUGGUUUCCACACUGAGGCAGCUCUGUGGUGGUUGUUCCUCUCAGGUACCCUCUACUGGUAAACUUGAACUAUACUGACAGACCAUAGCACAGCUAUGUCCCCAUUGUGCUGGAGUUUGUAUGAAUAGUUAGGAUGUUAAUACUACAUUUUUUUGCCUUCUUUCUCAUAGCUAAUGUCUAUGGAACUAGCUGUAUUACUUGUUUUUUGUUUUGUUUUUUAUUGUUAUAGCUCUGUUAAAUGGCCCCCCAAAUUUCCAGAUAGUAUCCCUAACUGCAACAGAAGAAUUUUAUGGAUCCUUAACUCACAAUAAGUUUGACUUUCAACAAUUUGUUCAGUGUGAAUAUUUUUAUGUCUUUUUCAUGCUUCCACUUACUUGAAACUCAGUUUAUUCUUAAAAACUGUCUAGUAGAACCAGCUUAUUAAGUGUUACUUUGGUAUGCAGUGAAAUGGUCAAUUAAGCAAUAUUGAAGAAAGAUACUUUGACUGUUUUGAAAUUUAUUAUGAAUCAUAAAACAAAAAUCAUUUCAUAGUAUUUCAGAGAUAAAGUCUCAACUGUUCUUAGUCCAGUAUGUCAGUAGAAUUUAUAGUGCAAAUAAAAUUUGCUUAAUUAAAAGAUUUUUUUUGAAAGUCCGUCUAUUAUCAGAAAGCACCAGGAAGAAGUUGUAUUAGUAGCUGCUGUUUUCAUUGGAAGAGUUUUUCAUUAAAUUUCUGUGUAAAAUCUAUUCUUAAUAAGAGAUUUUGUUUGUUUUCCAAACAUACUAUAUAGUAUGAUCUUUUGCAAUCGAAAUGGAUAAGGAAGAAACGAGUGAGGGCUGGUGAUGGUCUUAUAACCACUACAGAAACUCUGUGUUUAGUGCUGUAUCUUGUCUUCAUUCUCAUGUUGAUUAAUUACUAGAUGUUGUCAGUCAUGUCUCCAAUGAAAACAGGAGUGAUAGGGCUUUCUGAGUCAGUUGAUGAAUGAAUCAUACUAAUUUUUAGCAGUUUUUUCAUAUAAUUUUGUCUCCAUCUUUUCAGUAUGUUGACCAAGUUCUUCUAGGUGGUAAAGUUUGUGUUCCAGGUAUAUUGAGUUUAUGUAUUUAUCAUGUAUGCACUAUUGUUAGGUGAAAACAUACUUCAACUUGAUGGGCAGCUAUUAUUCAGUAUUCAUGUAUACUAAUGUUGAUAUAUAUUAGAUACUGUGUUUUACUAUACCUACAAGGUUAUACAAAAUUCUUUUCUUUUACUCAUGAGUUCCAUUUGUUUGGAUUUUUGGUUUGUUUAGAUUUUUUUUCUUCGUGUGUUAAAAAAUAUAGUUUAAUGCUUUUCCUGGUACCUUGCCCUUUGUUGGCAUAAUUGGAAUAUAAAUCGUUCAAAUCUCCACAAUUAAGAGUUUCAGAAAUAUGUGAUACUGGCCACUUGACUUAAUAAAGACUAGAUAUACAAAACAGGUAGAAAAAAAAUACCUAUUUCCUCACUAAAAACAAUUGAAUAUUUUUCUUAUUAUUAGCAAAUAUUAGUAAUAGCAUAGACUAUGAAUAAUUUCUAUAUGUUUUGGCAAGCACAUAGUGAGACAAUGCUUAUUACAGUAAGUACGCAUUUCAGUUAACUAACUGGGCACUGUAAUUCCAAUAGGGCUGUAAUGCAUGGAAACUCACUCUUCAGAUUCCUUAGAGCUGUAACCUGAGACAGUUGAAGGGCCCAUAGUUCAUUUGGGAGGUGUAGAUAGUAGUGAAGCUGAGGAAGCCUGGAAAGGAAAGGUGUACAGAGGGUGUGCUGUCAAGCUGGCUAACACUGCAGGAUGCUAGAACUGUAUUUCCUUUGUGCUACUCUGGAAAAACUAGAACACACAAUUCAGACAUACCUCAUGUGAAGAAUUGGGAUACAGAACUAGUUUGGGGCAGUGGUAGCUAUCCUGUACAGUGAACAGUUCUUGGCAACUUGUGAUCAAGAGCUGUAGCUGGACAUGAUGGCACAUGCUUGCAGUUCCAGCACCUGAGAGGUAGAAUCAGGAAGACCAGGAGUUUAGGGGGAACCUGGGCUACAUGGACUGUGUCCAAAAAAAAAAAAAAAAAAAAAUAGAGAAGAGCAGUAGCUGAAGAUUGGUAGACCCAGACUAUCAUUAUAAUACCCACAUCGUCCCUUACAUGUAUACUUGACAGUCCAGCCUCGUAGUACAGUCAGAUGGCAUCCUGUGCGCUUGCACUGCAUGACUGUGUAGCCCACGCAGGCAGAGCCAGGCAAGACUGAAAGGCACAAUGAGAAGACAGUGCUGUGGUUCUGACCCUGGUGGUCUUUACUAUCCAUGUGACCAGGUCUCAUCUGUAAGAUCAGAAGAUGAAUCAGUACACACCACUCUCAGGUGUGUUUGCUCUGAAGCACAUUUGAGCUGAACUUUGCGCAGAAGAGAGGAGGAGGUGCCUUGUUUUACAAAGAGGGAGGUCUGUUUAAUCAGCAAGAUGGAAAAGAUUUCUUGGCAAUUUAAAUUUUCAAAGGCAAAAAGGACAGAUGUUGUCCAGUGAAAAUUAAAAACUUACCUAAAAGGCUUUUUUAAGUUUCUACUUGAACACAUAUUUCACAACUGCAGGUUUGGGCUUCUUUUUCCCUUAUGUUACAUCAUGAACAUGCCACAUGUUAACGUGUAUAAUAUACAAAGUAUGUAAUGUAAUGUAAAUUGAUAUUGUAUGACUGGUUAUAUCUACAUAUUAAUACUAAAUUAUGAAUGUAUAAUUGAUGUGAAAUAAAACACAUCCCUGAUAUUGAA